rnacentral:tRNA from 1 species
UGACAUCCUAAUAAUGGGUUCAUGUUUCGGCCAUGAUUUUGGAAAUGUUUUAUUUUUCUGUCAG